rnacentral:rRNA from 1 species
GUGCUUGCCCCUGCUGACGAGUGGCGCACGGGUGCGGAACGCGUAUCGAACCUGCCCCUGUCAGGGGAAUAGCCCAUGGAAACGUGAAUUAAUGCCCCAUGGCAUCACUUUACCGCAUGGUAUGGUGAUUAAAGAUUUAUCGGACGGGGAUGGCGAUGCGUGCCAUUAGUUAGUUGGUAAGGUAACGGCUUACCAAGGCAGCGAUGGCUAGGGGCCCUGAGAGGGGGAUCCCCCACACUGGUACUGAGACACGGACCAGACUCCUACGGGAGGCAGCAGUGAGGAAUAUUGGACAAUGGUGGGAACACUGAUCCAGCCAUGCCGCGUGCAGGAUGACUGCCCUAUGGGUUGUAAACUGCUUCUAUACGGGAAGAAACCCAGGUACGUGUACCUGGCUGACGGUACCGUAAGAAUAAGGACCGGCUAACUCCGUGCCAGCAGCCGCGGUAAUACGGAGGGUCCGAGCGUUAUCCGGAAUCAUUGGGUUUAAAGGGUCCGUAGGCGGGCCAAUAAGUCAGAGGUGAAAGGCCACGGCUCAACCGUGGGACUGCCUUUGAUACUGUUGGUCUUGAGUCAUAGUGGGGUUGCCGGAACAUGUGGUGUAGCGGUGAAAUGCAUAGAUAUCACAUAGAACACCGAUCGCGAAGGCAGGUGGCCAACUAUGAACUGACGCUGAUGGACGAAAGCGUGGGGAGCGAACGGGAUUAGAUACCCCGGUAGUCCACGCCGUAAACGAUGGAUACUAGCUGUGGGGACUUCGGUCUCCGUGGCCAAGCGAAAGUGAUAAGUAUCCCACCUGGGGAGUACGUUCGCAAGAAU